rnacentral:lncRNA from 1 species
UCCAGGAGCCUGAGGCGACCGAGGCGCCGCCCAAUUUUCGCAACGCGAAGUGCCAGAUGAUAUGGCAGCCGCAAGAUGUUUGCUGGGGUUCAUCUCACUGAUUGCUCUUCCUCGGGGCAUUGUGCUUCACUGCUCCGCCGGUGGAUCUGCCAAGCUUCACAAAGCCAAGCUGUGACGAGAUGAGCAUCAUCCUCGCCUAUGUCCGAUUGUUGGGAUUCCUCCAAGCUAAGGUAAUUAUUUGUGUUCCUCAACUGUUUGAUGAAAUGCUUAAAGAAGAAGCUACAACUUGAGUUUUGGGAAUUUGUGUUUCUUACUAACAGAGGACAGCCGAUCAUUAAUUUGUAGGUUAUAUGUAUUAAUCCACUGAAACUGGUCUAAAACAAACAAACAAAAGUCAAAGUCCUUUAGCAUGGGACCUGCUAGUGAAAUUUGCCAUAUACCCAUUUUUGAUAGUAGCAUGGCAAGUAUGUACAUCAUGGCGCUUUUAGCCCUUUGCCAACCGAAGAUACUCUUUUAAUCCAUUUUUGCCAUGGCAAAUUUUACUCCAUUUUAUGCCAUGGCAAACUUCUUUAAUUAACAUGUUCAAAAGCAUGCAAACUUGCCAUGGCAAAGUAAUGGAUGUUUAUGGCAAACUUGUUUGGCAAAUUUUACUCCAUUUUUGCCAUGGAAAAAAUACUUUCAUUCACACGGCAAAUUUUAGUUUAAGUUGCCAUGGCAAAUUUUACUUUAAGUUGCCAUGGAAAAUUUAUUGUAAAGAGCAUGGCAAUUUUGUUUUAAAUAUGAUGGCAAAUUUACAUAGCACGGUAAUUAUAUUUAUAUAGCCAUGGCGUUUUUUAAUUUAUUCCAUGGCAAAAGUACUCCAGUUUUGCCAUGGCAACAUUAAUCCAUUUUUUGCCAUGGCAAAAUUUUUACUUCACUUUUGCCAUGGCAAAUUUAACUCUAUUUUUUGCCAUGGCAAAUUUUAGUUUAAGUUGCCAUUGCAAAAUUUAUUUUAAGUUGCCAUGGCAAUUUUAAUUUAAAUAUUAUGGCAAAAUUACAUUUUAUAGAACAUGGCAAAUUUUACUAUGUAGCAUCUUAAAUAUGCUUGUGUAACCAUGACAAUUUUUAAUUUAUUUCCAUGGCAAAAGUACUACAUUUUUGGCAUGGCAAAAAUUAAACCAUUUUUGCCAUGACAAAUUUCACUCCAUUUUAUGCCAUGGCAAACUUCUUUAAUUAACAUGUUCAAAAACAUGCAAACUUGCCAUGGCAAAGUUAUAGAUGUUUAAAAAUAUGGCAAACUUUGUAGAUGUUCACAAAUAUGGCAAAUUUGCAAUGGCAUUUUAAAAUGUUCAAAAACAUGACAAACAAAUGAUGUUCAAAAACAUGGCAAACUUGCUAUGGCAACUAAUGAUGUUCAAAAACAUGGCAACCUAAGAUGUUCAAAAAUAUGGCAAACUUGCCAUGGCAACUAAAAUCAGUAUUGUUUAUAAAUGUGUUUUUUUCGAUGGCAACUAAAUGCAUUUUUUGCCAUGGUUCAUUGUGUCUUUUUGCCACGUCCACCCGAAGAAUGUUUGUCAUGACCAUUACAAAUUAGUUUGAGAACACGGCAAGUUUGUUCUUUCAAAAUUGUUUUUUCCAUGGCAAAAAGUUUUGAUUCUUUGAAAUUUGUUUUGCCAUGGGGAUUACAUGUACGAUAUCAUUACAACUUAAAAAUGUUUUCUCCAUUUUUUUUGAAAAAAUUCUAUGUGUCUAGAGAGAAUUUUUUCACCAUAUCACUUCAUGGAAAAAAAAUUCCUUUUUUUGUAAACUUUCGUAGUGAUGGCAACUUUUCGUACUGUAGAAAUGCAGGUUGCCAUGACUUCUUCCUUUUUUGCGCCAUUUUUGAAAACAUAAAGGUGAACAUGGCAAUUUCUUUCAUAGAAUGGCAAAAGUCCAUGGCAAUUUUGUCGUACAAAAGACCGGUGUUUAUUAGUCGCAGAAAAACUGGGCUUUUUACUAGUCAUACACGGGCUUUAUUUUUCGUUUUUCUUUUCACAAGGAAAAAGGCCUGUAGGGCCUAGUGGGUGAGGCGUUCGGGCUGGGGCGUUCUCGUCCCGAACAAGUUGUUCGAUCGAUGCCCCUUUCCAUCCCGAACGAAACGUUCGGUCUGGACCGAACGGUCGGUCAUUAUCGAUGUCCUUGGUUUUUACGUGUUGUGACUGCCAAGGCGACGCGCGGACACGGAAGGAGGAGGGCUCACGGCCGGUCGGUGCCGAGAGUUCGACACUUCCACUGCUUGGGAUCAGGCUCAGGAUCGUUGACAGGGUUUCGUUCGCUGCGGUCCACGGAGGGUCGAACGGCCAAAAUGCUCCGGAUGCUAACGUGCACAAGAACGCAGUGUGUCACUAUCUCUACCUAAUUUUGUUUUAUUUUAUUUUUAUUUUAUCUAUAUUAUAUCUAUAUCUAUACCGACUAAUAAAAAGACGGAGGAGUGUUCCCAUCGACUACAAAGAUGUCUGUGACGACUUUGUCAAUCUUAAUAUGAUUAAUAUGGUGUGCCGGCUCAGUCUCUCAAAUGUCUCAUACGGAUAGGAUAUGCGUGCGUGUGUUGUGUGUCUAUGUAUGUAUGAGUGUCUGCGUCUAUAUUGUAUUAAAAAUUUAACCAAAUAAUAAAAAGAGAUGUGUUUCUCUGGGUUUUUUUAUCCCUCCACCCAUGUAUAUAAUGAUUCGUCUGUCCCCAUAAAAAUUUCGUCCAUAGCUAUUCAAAAUGGUAAAAUUGUAUUACCUCCGUUCUAAAUUAAUUUCCGUCCAUAGCUAUACAUGUUAAUGUUGUACUAAAAUGUUGGAGGGCAGAGAUCAUAUCCUGAUUCUCCCAGAUUAAUAGCCAAGACAACAACCAAUAGGCCAACUCAUCCUACUGCCAAUUAGGAAAAAAAAAGUAUAUGGCCAUUUUUUUAGUACAACAUUAACAUGUAUGGUAUAUACCCAGCUUAUUAUGCGUAUUAUAUUAUGAUAAAAGUGGAAAAUAAUAAUUUAGAAGUGUGGACCAGGGUGUGCCUGGCGCUGAACAAACUGAGCUAGACCCCGUCUGAUGGGGCAACCUUGUUAGAUUGGUGCAUGGACAAAGAUGGAAGCCACUUGCAUAAGAAGGAUGUUAGGGCGCUUACUAUUUUGGUAACGUGGGAGCUAUGAAAACACCGCAAUGAUAUUGUUUUCGAUGGAGAUUCACCUUUGAUUGGAUUUGUAAUUCAGAGAAUAGUGAGUGAGGGGAAAGCAUGGAGAGCAGCGGGCCUGGUUAGAGAGGGUGUGUAAGAUUUUCUUGUCGCACUUUCGAUGGGUACAGUAGCGAGUCUGUAGCAUCUUUAGAGUAGCGGUGGAGUUGGGGUGCGUAUGUAAUAUGUAACCACCGACGUGGAGGAGCUCUUCACCCCCUUCUUCUCCUUUAAUAUAUAGUAGGCACACUCAUGCGUAUUCAAGAAAAAAAGUAAAAUGUGAACCUGAAAAAAGUUCACAUAUUUAAAAAGGUUCAUAAAAAACUAAAUAAACUUUAUCGGUUUUGAAAAAAGUUUGGAAAUUUGAAAAGUUCAUCGAUUUUGAAAAAGUUCACAAAUUUGAAAAAAGUCAACAAUUUUAGAAAAAAGUUCAUUGAAUUUCUAAAAAAGUUCAUCAAAUUUGAAACGCCCUUGCAGAGCUGGUACAUCAUGAUCUACAUGCAAAAUACCACCAAGUUCACCAACAACAAAUCAAUCAAUCAAACGCCGUCAGUACAUUCAAACAAAAACCUCGUGUGUGAGAUCUAGGAAACGAACGACAAACGACCGAGAUGAGCGGCAGUAUGGAGGGGAUACCUUGAUGGUGUGUGCAGGGACAACAGAUCCAUGCAGGGCUAGCUCCACCUCUUGUCCGAGAUUGAGACAGAGAAACCGCUCAUCGAUUUUUUUUUUAAAUACACAAAUUACAAAAGUUCAUCAGUAUUUAAAUAUUGUUCAACAAUUUUUAAUUUUUUGUGUCAAUUUUGAGAAAAUAGUUCACAAAUUAAAAAAAUCAUGAAUUUUGAAAAAAUCUCACGAAUUUGAAAAAGUUCAUCAAUUUGAAAAGAAGUUCAUCAAUUUUGAAAAAAGUUAACAAAUUUGAAAAAGUUUUAUCAAUUUUUCAAAAAAGUUCAUGAAUUUGAAAGGUUCACGAAUUCGAAGAAGGUUUAUCAAUUUUGCAAAAAUGUUUACGAAUUUGGAAAAACGUUCAUCGAUUUUGAAAAAAGUUCACAAAUUUGGAACAAAAUCAUAGGUGUCGGAAAGUGUUUAUCUAUUUUAAGAAAAAAAUCCCUAAUUUGAAAAAAGAAAAAAGGAGACAGAGUAAAAAAAGAAAAACAAUGAAAGGAUAAAAAGAGGGGAAAACAUGUAUCAAAUCACAGCGAGAGUGUUAUCGUGUCUUACACUGCCCUCACGCGUCGCAAGUUCGAAUUACAACUUAUGCUCAUGUUUUUGCAGUUUUGAAACAGGAAAAAAUUGAAAUGGGUCAGCCCAUCGCGGAGGGGAGGGGUGUGCACUCGUUUGCGGGAUGUGAAGAAAAGGGCGCUGAAGGCGCCGAAUAGCAUUUGGCACUAGAAAACCAAUCAUUUCUUGCGUGUAUGGUUUUCUUC